GACGGAGGAUGCAAGCGUUAUCCGGAAUUAUUGGGAGUAAAGCGUCCGCAGGUGGACAUACAAGUCUGCUGUCAAAGUGCAGAGCCUAACUCUGUAAAGGCGGUGGAAACUGUAGGUCUUGAGUAUGGUAGGGGUAGAGGGAAUUCCCGGUGUAGCGGUGAAAUGCGUAGAUAUCGGGAAGAACAUCGGUGGCGAAAGCGCUCUACUGGACCGCAACUGACACUCAGGGACGAAAGCUAGGGGAGCGAAUGGG
rnacentral:rRNA from 1 species